GUCUCUGUGGCGCAAUUGGUUAGCGCGUUCGGCUGUUAACCGAAAGGUUGCUGGUUCAAGCCAGCCAGGGACG
rnacentral:tRNA from 1 species